rnacentral:rRNA from 1 species
GACGAACGCUGGCGGCGUGCCUAAUACAUGCAAGUCGAGCGGACCAAAGGGAGCUUGCUCCUGGAGGUUAGCGGCGAACGGGUGAGUAACACGUGGGCAACCUGCCUGUAAGACUGGGAUAGCAUCGAGAAAUCGGUGCUAAUACCGGAUAAUAAAAAAGAACUGCAUGGUUCUUUUUUGAAAGAUGGUUUCGGCUAUCACUUACAGAUGGGCCCGCGGCGCAUUAGCUAGUUGGUGAGGUAACGGCUCACCAAGGCAACGAUGCGUAGCCGACCUGAGAGGGUGAUCGGCCACACUGGGACUGAGACACGGCCCAGACUCCUACGGGAGGCAGCAGUAGGGAAUCUUCCGCAAUGGACGAAAGUCUGACGGAGCAACGCCGCGUGAGUGAUGAAGGUUUUCGGAUCGUAAAACUCUGUUGUUAGGGAAGAACAAGUGCCGUUCGAAAGGGCGGCACCUUGACGGUACCUAACGAGAAAGCCACGGCUAACUACGGUGCCAGCAGCCGACGG